rnacentral:tRNA from 1 species
GGGAGUGUAGCUCAAUGGUAAAGAGUUUGUGCUUGGCACACAUGAGGCCCUGGGUUUGAUUCCCAGCACCA